rnacentral:rRNA from 1 species
UACAGAGGGUGCGAGCGUUAAUCGGAAUUACUGGGCGUAAAGCGCGCGUAGGCGGCUUUGCAAGUCGGGUGUGAAAUCCCCAGGCUUAACCUGGGAACUGCAUUCGAGACUGCAUUGCUAGAGUAUGGGAGAGGGAAGUGGAAUUUCCGGUGUAGCGGUGAAAUGCGUAGAUAUCGGAAGGAACAUCAGUGGCGAAAGCGGCUUCCUGGACCAGUACCGACGUUCAGGCACGAAAGCCGUGGGGAGCAAACAGG